rnacentral:tRNA from 1 species
AAGCAGGAAUGCAAAGCAAAAUGAUUUCGGCUCAUUCCGUGAGUAAUAUUACUCCCUGCUUU